rnacentral:rRNA from 1 species
AUGAACAUCGCCCUCUUGACCCGCUGGCUCUGGCGCAUCGCCAAUGGGGACGGUGGCCUCUGGCUUACUAUCAUCCAGAACAAGUACCUGCGUGGACAGCCACUGGCGUUCUGCCAACGCUCGGGCGGUUCCCAGUUUUGGCAGGCCGUCGUCCGGCUGCUUCCGGUCUUACGUAUAGGCACUUCCAUCUCUGUGGGCUCUGGAGCUUCGACCUUGUUCUGGCUGGACAGGUGGCUCGGAGGCUCCCCUCUAGCCGCCCGGUUCCCCAUCCUCUUCGACAUUGUAGUUGACCCUCGGGUCUCAGUCGAGGCGGCCCUUAUUGACUUAGGGCGCCUCGCGUUCUGCCGCCCUUUUGGCCCCGCUGAGGUGGCUGCCUGGGAUGUCCUCCUCCAGGACAUCACCCUGCUACCUAUGGACGUGACAGAUUCUCCGGACUCCAUCUCCUGGCGCCUAGACCCCUCCGGCCGCUUCUCCACCAAAUCCCUCUACGCGGCCAUUGCCCCUUCGUCAGCCCCGGAGCCCUUUGGUCUUAUCUGGGACAUCCGCCUCCCACUUAAGAUUCGGAUCUUUCUUUGGCAAUGGAUCCGCGGCCGCCUCCCAACCGGCGUUGAGGUUCUUAAGCGCCAUGGUCCUGGCGAUGGAAUGUGCCCCCUGUGUGGCACGGUAGAGGACGCUAAUCACAUCUUCUUCCUGUGCUACACGGCACAGUUCCUUUGGUCUUGUUUCCGCGAAACGGUUGGGGGACAGUGGUGCAACACCAACUUCCCUGACCUGCUUGCGGAAAUUCAAGCCUCCCCCCCCCUCGCUACAGACAUAUUAGAUGGCUCUGCGUCGGGGUUCUAG